CUCCGCAGCCCCGCGCGGGGGCUGGGGUUUCUCAGGGUUGGGGACCAGCGAGCUGGGGGCUGCUGGGGGGAAAAGGGUGGGGCUCGGCAGAGGAGGAAGCGGCCUUCAGACCCAAGACCCAGGCAGCGGGUGAGGGGGGUGGGAAGAGGGGCUGGGAAGUGGAAGCGGGAACUUGCCGGUGGCCACGCUCUCUCUCCCGGCCCUCGCCCGCCCCUCCCCCAUUUCCUCUCCGGGAGGAGGGGCCACGGCGGCAUGGGGGCGGGGUAACGAGUCAGCCCCGCCCCCUGCUUCCCCUCCCCUCCACCCGCAGGAUUCGAGCACGCAGCUGUCUCGGACCGGGACCCUGUCUCGAAAGAGCAUCAAGGCGCCUGCCGCACCCGCCUCCGCCACCCUCGGGUGAGGCCUCGCCGCGAUCCUAACCUGCCCCGCCCAAGUCCACAAACUCGACUCCCCCACCCUCGCUUCAAGCCGGGCGCCAAACUUCCUCCUGCCAGCUGCCAGCUGCCAGCUACCACCUCCUCCCCGUCCCGACCCCCUGCCUGCCAGCAGCCUUCCCUCUUGCUGACACCCUUCCCCUCCACCCCUAGGAGAGCGCCCCGGAUCCCCGAGCCGGUGCAGCCCCCCGUGGUGCCCAACGGCAAGCUCUCCGCCGCCUCCUCUGCCUCCUCCCUGGCCUCGGCCGGCAGCGCUGAAGGGGUCGGUGGUGUCUCCGCGGUCAAGGGGCAAGCAGCACCUCCGCCCCCUCCACCUGCUGCCUCCGACGUCUUCCUGCUGCCCCCUCCACUGGAGGAACUGUCCCUGCCCCCGCCGGGUAAGGAGCUCCGCCCUCCCCUCCUAGCUCAACUUUGGGGUCGUUGCCUCACCCCAACACUUCUCCCCACCCCUUGGAUCCAAUUGGGCCUCUCCGUGGAUGCUUUGCAACAGGCGUAAGGGGAAGGGGAAGUGAACGUAGUUGAGCGCACCUGCUUUAUACCAGGCCCCCGGGGGCGAAGCGUCUCACCCACCUUCCCACUUAAACUUAACCCUAAGAGAAUCUCCACACU
rnacentral:lncRNA from 1 species